GACAGAGGGUGCAAACGUUGUUCGGAAUUACUGGGCGUAAAGGGCGCGUAGGCGGGAUGGCAAGUCAGUCGUGAAAUCUCUCGGCUCAACCGAGAAACGUCGGCUGAUACUGCCGUUCUUGAGGGAUGCAGAGGAGACUGGAAUUCCCGGUGUAGCGGUGAAAUGUGUAGAGAUCGGGAGGAACACCGGUGGCGAAGGCGGGUCUCUGGGCAUCUCCUGACGCUGAGGCGCGAAAGCGUGGGGAGCAAACGGG
rnacentral:rRNA from 1 species